rnacentral:rRNA from 1 species
AUUGAACGCUGGCGGCAUGCCUUACACAUGCAAGUCGAACGGUAACAGGUCUUCGGAUGCUGACGAGUGGCGAACGGGUGAGUAAUGCAUCGGAACGUGCCCAGUAGUGGGGGAUAGCCCGGCGAAAGCCGGAUUAAUACCGCAUACGACCUGAGGGUGAAAGGGGGGGAUCGCAAGACCUCUCGCUAUUGGAGCGGCCGAUGUCAGAUUAGCUAGUUGGUGGGGUAAAGGCCUACCAAGGCAACGAUCUGUAGUUGGUCUGAGAGGACGACCAGCCACACUGGGACUAAGACACGGCCCAGACUCCUACGGGAGGCAGCAGUGGGGAAUUUUGGACAAUGGGCGCAAGCCUGAUCCAGCAAUGCCGCGUGCAGGAAGAAGGCCUUCGGGUUGCAAACUGCUUUUGUCAGGGAAGAAAUCUUCUGGGUUAAUACCUCGGGAGGAUGACGGUACCUGAAGAAUAAGCACCGGCUAACUACGUGCCAGCCGCCGCAGUAAAAC